GUGCCAGCAGCCGCGGUAAUACGGAGGGUGCAAGCGUUACUCGGAAUUACUGGGCGUAAAGAGCGUGUAGGCGGGUUAAUAAGCCAGAUGUGAAAGCCUGUGGCUCAACCAUAGAACUGCAUUUGAAACUGUUAACCUAGAAUAUGGGAGAGGUAGAUGGAAUUUCUGGUGUAGGGGUAAAAUCCGUAGAGAUCAGAAGGAAUACCGAUUGCGAAGGCGAUCUACUGGAACAUUAUUGACGCUGAGACGCGAAAGCGUGGGGAGCAAACAGGAUUAGAUACCCUAGUAGUCC
rnacentral:rRNA from 1 species